UACGAAGGGGGGCUAGCGUUGCUCGGAAUCACUGGGCGUAAAGCGCACGUAGGCGGAUUCCUAAGUCGGUGGUGAAAUCCUGGAGCUCAACUCCAGAACUGCCUUUGAUACUGGGGAUCUCGAGUCCGGAAGAGGUGAGUGGAACUCCGAGUGUAGAGGUGAAAUUCGUAGAUAUUCGGAAGAACACCAGUGGCGAAGGCGGCUCACUGGUCCGGUACUGACGCUGAGGUGCGAAAGCGUGGGGAGCAAACAGG
rnacentral:rRNA from 1 species